UUUUUUUCCUAGCUUGUUGCAAAAUUGGAAGUGCUUCAAACUGGGGUUUUUUUUGCCUUCUUUUGGAUCAACAGCAAAAAACAAAUGAGAGGAAGGCUGAACUUGAUGAACGCAAGUCUCUUUUCAGCUAUGUUACUAUCGCCAAAAAACUGUCAGUAAAAAUUCACACUUAGAAAGCUGAAAUAGUGAUGUUUCUUAUCUGGCACUGGAGCUUUGCAAU